UAAUACCAGCACCCCGAGUGGUCGGGACGAUUAGUUGGGCCUAAAGCAUCCGUAGCCGGUUCAUGCAAGUCUUCCGUUAAAUCCAGCCGCUCAACGGUUGGGCUGCGGAGGAUACUACGUGGCUAGGAGGCGGAGAGGCAAGCGGUACUCAGUGGGUAGGGGUAAAAUCCUUUGAUCCAUUGAAGACCACCAGUGGCAAGGCGG
rnacentral:rRNA from 1 species